GCUGAGUGCGGUGGCGCCCGCCUGUAAUCCCAACAGCUCAGGAGGCUGAGGCAGGAGGAUCCUGAGUUCAAAGCCAGCCUCAGCAAUGGCAAGGCACUAAGCAACUCAGUGAGACCCUGUCUCUA
rnacentral:sRNA from 1 species